UACCAAGGGACGCAGCAGCAGCCCCAGCCAGUGGGGCAGCUCCCCGUUCUGGAAAUGCACAAGAUAAGAGAAUCUGUUCCGCUGAGCUUAUCGAUAUGGGGGCCAAGUCCCAGCGAAGGGCCAGGGAAAUUAUCCAGGCAAGUGCAGUGCCCCUAUGGGAUCCAGACGAUGGAGUUUCUCUUCUUGGGCAGGAGGCCGAGAAAAUGAGCAGCACCAGCGCACACCCCACCCUCUGAGAGCACCUGCAUGGGCCACAAGGUACUCGCUGCCUUAUAGAGUGGAUUCUUCUAGCCUGCAGGGAGGCUUGGCCCAAUGAGGAGGACCCCCUGAGCACGUGGCCCUGGAAAUCGAUAGAAAAGGUGCUGAACCCCCACCCUGGGCUCCCAGAAUUCAGAGAGCUGAUGCCCCAGCCCACGGAGGAGGCCUGGCCACCAUUCUUUCAGCAGAUACCACAGACUGGAACAACACCCCAGUUCACUUAUUGAAUCAUCUCCACACCCAGAGUGGGACUUGAACUCACGACCCUGAGAUCCAGAGUCACACGCUGUACUGACUGAGCCACCGAGGCGCCCCUGAGCAAGGGCUCUAACUAUGGUUUGGUUUGUGAGGUCCAUGUAUCUGGCCCAACCCAAGCUUUCCCCUGUCACCGAGGUGCAAAGCAGGCUGCCUCCCUUAAGGGAUUAGAGACACUGAGUAUGAUGUACGGAAAUCCUCAUCAAGU